CAGCAUGUUUCCAAGGACUGUGGCUGCUUUUAGCCAUGCAAUCUUCAAUUGUAUGCAAGAGCAACCUGGACAGACUCUGACAGCGCAGGCCAGCAGCUGUUGCUCAGCUUUGACAGUG
ensembl:snoRNA